CCUACGGGAGGCAGCAGUCGAGAAUCCUUCACAAUUUUUUCCCCCCUGAUUGUGCGACGCCGCGUGGGGGAAUGAAGGUCUUCGGAUUGUAAACCCCUGUCAUGUGGGAGCAAAUUAAAAAGAUAGUACCACAAGAGGAAGAGACGGCUAACUCUGUGCCAGCAGCCGCGGUAAUACAGAGGUCUCAAGCGUUGUUCGGAAUCACUGGGCGUAAAGCGUGCGUAGGCUGUUUCGUAAGUCGUGUGUGAAAGGCGCGGGCUCAACCCGCGGACGGCACAUGAUACUGCGAGACUAGAGUAAUGGAG
rnacentral:rRNA from 1 species